rnacentral:rRNA from 1 species
GACACGGCUGGCGGCGUGCCUAACACAUGCAAGUCGAGCGAGUGAGUUCUUGGACAAAGCUAGCGGCGGACGGGUGAGUAACACGUGGGCAACCUGCCUCAUAGAGGGGAAUAGCCUCCCGAAAGGGAGAUUAAUACCGCAUAAGAUUGUAGCUUCGCAUGAAGUAGCAAUUAAAGGAGCAAUCCGCUAUGAGAUGGGCCCCGGCGCAUUAGCUAGUUGGUGAGGUAACGGCUCACCAAGGCGACGAUGCGUAGCCGACCUGAGAGGGUGAUCGGCCACAUUGGGACUGAGACACGGCCCAGACUCCUACGGGAGGCAGCAGUGGGGAAUAUUGCACAAUGGGGGAAACCCUGAUGCAGCAACGCCGCGUGAGUGAUGACGGCCUUCGGGUUGUAAAGCUCUGUCUUCAGGGACGAUAAUGACGGUACCUGAGGAGGAAGCCACGGCUAACUACGUG